GUGAAGCAGGAACAAAGGUUUGGGCAUCACCUGGCAGAUUGGCAUCUGGCCCAGUUCACCAUGGACUUUCUGUGGUGAGGGGAAGCCGUCAGAGCUGGAAGUAAACACCGGCUUCCUGUUGACCCACGCUAGCUCCCUGGCUGGGACAGGUUGAUGGUGAACUGCAAUGACUUACUAUGAAUUGCAAAAACAUACUAACAGGAAGCUACAGGACGAAGGAGUGUGGCGUCUCCAGGUGCUUCCAGAGUUGAGGUCCCUUAAGCAUCUUCCUCUCCCUCCUCAGCUACGGCACAGGUCUUCCCCACACAGGCAGCGUCUCGCCACUGGAUCAGCCAACACAGUACCCCCACGAGAACCUCAAAGCUCUUUUCCAGAACGCAGCUUCAGAUCCCUACAAUGUCUCAAGUACGAGAAAAGGGAGCUAAAGGGACAGCUCAAGGUUUAAAAGCACCAGCUGCUGCUCUUCCAGGACUUGGAUUUGAGUCUCAGCAACUCCAGUUUCAGGGGCUCCGAGUCCCCUCUUCUGGCCUCCUUGGCACCAGGGACACACGUGGAACACAGAUUCGCGUGCAGGCAAAAUGCCCAUACACUCAAAAUAAUUUUCUUUAAAAGAAAGCAACAUGUUGAAGCCUGGGAGCCAGAGUGGGUUUUCUGAAGUGAGACCCUCCUCACAUCACAAUGGAAGGUUGGUGCCUGCCUCUAUCCCUCCUCAGACAGGACAACAGCCUCCUUGUGGCCUUUCUCUGCCUUUGGGUAUUCGUGUCACCUGGCUACAGGAACAGAAUUCAAUCCAGGCCAUUUGAGAACAACCCCAAGGGUGUUGGGAUAGACAAACUUUAUGUCUCAGUCAAGCUGGGCUUUAAAAGUCACUGUUUGUCCCCUCUGUCCAUUCUGUGUGUCCUGGGGCACUGGCUAGCUGGUUCUUUCCAGUGUGUUAUCAUCUGCACCCAAGGAGUUCUAGGAACCCUUGGCGAGCUGAGGAAGCCAGCUGAAGACAUCUGGCUGGGUGUCCCUGCUCUGUCCAAGGAGUCUAUAGAAGGCACAAAGCUGGGAAAACCGAUUGUGCAUACGCUAUGAAGUGUGAUCACCGGGGACCUCUGGCCUGGUGUCCUC